UACGAAGGGGGCUAGCGUUGCUCGGAAUACUGGGCGUAAAGCGUGCGCAGGCGGUCCGUUAAGACAGAUGUGAAAUCCCCGGCUUAACCUGGGAACUGCAUUUGUGACUGGCGGACUCGAGUAUGGCAGAGGGGGGUAGAAUUCCACGUGUAGCAGUGAAAUGCGUAGAGAUGUGGAGGAAUACCGAUGGCGAAGGCAGCCCCCUGGGCCAAUACUGACGCUCAUGCACGAA
rnacentral:rRNA from 1 species